rnacentral:lncRNA from 1 species
CGCGGGGCCGGGGGCUGCUGCUGCUGACGCUGUCGGUGCUGUUGGCGGCGGGCCCCUCCGCCGCUGCGGCCAAGCUCAACAUCCCCAAAGUGCUGCUGCCCUUCACGCGGGCCACGCGCGUUAACUUCACGCUGGAGGCCUCGGAGGGCUGCUACCGCUGGUCCCUGAGUUCCCCUAUGGCCUGCCUGCCUCCUGUUCCUGUGUUGUGAAGAGUGGGGAGCACCCCCUCAAAAGCAGUGCCUGCCAGACGCCAGCACAUUCUGUGUGCCAGUGGGGCCUCAUGCGACAGUGGGAAUGAGAAAAAUUCACUCUUUCAAAACUCACUGUCAGUCCUUUAAUUUUCCUCAAAAUAAAAGUUUUCUUCUGGUGUC